ACUCCUACGGGAGGCAGCAGUGGGGAAUAUUGGACAAUGGGCGGAAGCCUGAUCCAGCAACGCCGCGUGAGGGAUGACUGCCUUCGGGUUGUAAACCUCUUUCAGCGGGGACGAAGCACCGGUUGAUGGUGGUGACGGUACCCGCAGAAGAAGCACCGGCCAACUACGUGCCAGCAGCCGCGGUAAUACGUAGGGUGCGAGCGUUGUCCGGAAUUAUUGGGCGUAAAGGGCUCGUAGGCGGUUUGUCGCGUCGGGCGUGAAAUCCACCAGCUUAACUGGUGGUCUGCGUUCGAUACGGGCAGACUAGAGGUAUGCAGGGGAGAACGGAAUUCCUGGUGUAGCGGUGAAAUGCGCAGAUAUCAGGAGGAACACCGGUGGCGAAGGCGGUUCUCUGGGCAUUACCUGACGCUGAGGAGCGAAAGUGUGGGGAGCGAACAGGAUUAGAUACCCUGGUAGUCCACACCGUAAACGUUGGGCGCUAGGUGUGGGGCCUAUUCCAUGGGUUCCGUGCCGCAGCUAACGCAUUAAGCGCCCCGCCUGGGGAGUACGGCCGCAAGGCUAAAGCUCAAAGGAAUUGACGGGGGCCCGCACAAGCGGCGGAGCAUGCGGAUUAAUUCGAUGCAACGCGAAGAACCUUACCUGGGUUUGACAUACACCGGAAAGCUGUAGAGAUAUGGCCCCUUUUUGUCGGUGUACAGGUGGUGCAUGGCUGUCGUCAGCUCGUGUCGUGAGAUGUUGGGUUAAGUCCCGCAACGAGCGCAACCCUCGUUCUAUGUUGCCAGCAUGCCCUUCGGGGUGAUGGGGACUCAUAGGAGACUGCCGGGGCCAACUCGGAGGAAGGUGGGGAUGACGUCAAGUCAUCAUGCCCCUUAUGUCCAGGGCUUCACGCAUGCUACAAUGGCCGGUACAAAGGGCUGCGAUGCUGUAAGGCGGAGCGAAUCCCAAAAAGCCGGUCUCAGUUCGGAUUGGGGUCUGCAACUCGACCCCAUGAAGUCGGAGUCGCUAGUAAUCGCAGAUCAGCAGCGCUGCGGUGAAUACGUUCCCGGGC
rnacentral:rRNA from 1 species